UGGAACCUGGGGAGGCCCACAUUUGAGCAAAGCUGCCCUGCCCUUGUCCCCUGGCCUGGCUUCCUGGUAAGGAGUUUCAGCCACCUCCCCAGGAACCCCCAAAGUGCAGAUUCUGGAGCAGACACACCCUGGCGGAGAGACACUCGGCACACAAAUGCUCCAGUUGCACGGUGGGACCCGGGACCUCGUGCGUUUCUCCCUGUGGGUGGGGUGGGGGGGUUUGUGUAUGCCUAUCAAUGCAAUUUUUAAUUUUUGUUAAUAUCAACAGCAAAAGCCGAGUGCAUUGGGAGAUGUGCAACCUCCCUGAAAAUCUUUUCUGUUUCUGGAGUGCUUCAGGGGUGGCCUCUGGCCCCCGAGCCUUUGCCACAGUGUCCCCACCGGCCCCUGCCUCAUCCGUCUAUUUGCAGAGCCUCAUCUACAGGUCCCCACUAUCUACAGGCUGCCUUCUUUACUCUGCGCUUGGCUGUUUUGUUAUUUGGCUGAGUCUACAUGGGGCGGAAGUCUCUGUGCACGGAAUGGGUGUUCCUCCAAGCCCCUUCCACUCGGAGGGCCACACCGGGCAAUGCCAGUGAAGGUGGCACAGCCUCUCUUCAGCGUCUCUUGACUGUGAUCUCACUGGGGCAGAACUUCCCCGAGAGAAUUCCCUCACUCACGGCUCCCUCUGCCAGAGUUAGUUCAGUCAGGUCUGAUGUGAGCAAUUUACACACUUGUCUCAGAAAGUCCCUCAGGCUUUGUAGAGGACUCGGGGCAUCCGCUGCAGACUCAGCCUCUCUCUGCAGCCAUCUUGCAGCAGGGGUGAGCGGGCAUAGGCUGUGAACUGCCCUUGGGUGGUGGGAGCAGGGGUCAAGGUGCACGUCUCCCCCUGUAUCCCUCCCCCAGCUUGCACCUUGUCACCCCCUUUCCCUCCAGCACGGGCCUGCAUCUCAGGCUCUCUGGAAGGGCAGCCCUGCCCCAGACCCUCUUGCAGAUGUCCUGGUUUGACUUGGAACUAGGUGGCCAUAUUUCCAGGCUUUGGUGGCCAAAGAGCAGUCCAGGUGGAUGGAAGUGGCUGUGCCCUCCUCUCCAGCCCCUGCCCACCCGCCGGUGGAGGUGCUAACUAGCAGGGACGUGGCAUAGGAUGGGAGCUGGGUGCGAGCUGUUUGGGGUCCAUUCUUUGUCCCGCAGCUUCUCAGAGUCCGGCCACCCCUUGUGUUCCCGUGCCCCCCACUUUGAGUGAGGCAAUAGUCCGGGGUGGGGCCUGGCCUCCCUGCCCUGAUGGGGCACUCAGGAGGUGAGGCUGGGGGGCUUCCUGCCCACUCCUUGCCCACCUGCCUGCCCCCGGGCAGCACGGGAGGGAGAGCAGGGCGAGCACGCUUGUUGGUUUCAGAUGCACUUUCUGCUUGCGAUGCCAUAUCUGUGCGUUCCUUCAUCCUGGUCCUGGCUUUAUGGAACACCAUGUUUUUAGCAUGUUUUUAAAUAAAAACCAAUAAAGUGUCAAAAGCACA